CAGGUCAACUAGGAAUCUGUGUGGUCAACUGUUCUCUUGCCAGGACACAGGAAACGCGUUGGUAUAAAUUCUUGUUUGGAGGCUGCAAAAAGCGUCGCACAGAGAAGGGGGAGGAGUGGCUGAUAAGUCAGAG
rfam:Equus caballus chromosome 4, whole genome shotgun sequence.